rnacentral:lncRNA from 1 species
GAAGCCUUAACUCCACAUGCCAAUAGGAAGUGACCAGAAGGAAAAGGAGGCAGGAAGUUAUCAGCUGCAAUUCUGCCACCUGGGAGCACGGGUUUCAUUCAGCUAUAAAACCUACUUUGGGUAAUCUCUCGGCAAGUCUUUCUGAAGAAAGUUCCAGGCAGCGACCCUGCUCACUCCAUCCUGGGAAGUCUCUGGGGUCCCCUAGAGUCCCCAGUAUCACGCUUUUUCGCUGCUGGAGCAUUUGUUUUAAGAGAUUCUGCGUGCUGCCCAGAAGUGAGCUGGACCUUCAUUCGUGUGUAUGUUCAUUCAUUCCCACAUUUAACAGGUUUGGGUUUCAUCGAGGGGACCCAGGCAACAAGAAAACUCUCUUGGACAGGAGCAUGGCAGGUCAAGGUUAGCUCAUGGACAUAAAGGUCAUCUGAUUGCAGCAUCCAUCACAUCAGAGUUGGUACCGGUGACCUCCUCUUCUCAAGGUCCCUUCCUCACUGAAGCUUCCCAAGCUUUCCUCCUGAAACUGAGCAUGCAGUAAAAGCACAGUCUAAAACAAGAGGGUCGCUAUUUGGUCAAGAAUGUUUAAGCAACUCUGCAACUCCACUAGAAUGCUAAUAGGCUAAUUUUGAUUUCACGCCCAGAAUCAUUCAGUUAACCCAACUGCACUGGACUGAUAGAGCGGAAGCAGAAGCCAAGACAGCAGGAAAAGGACUGGGAGUCAGAUAAUACAUCUUGGUUCAGUCCCAGCCCUGUUGACUUAUGGUAUCGACCUUUCUGAUCUCUGCUUCCUUAUCCUGAGAAUGGAUCAGCCACUGCAACUCAGGAAAGAGGUCAAGCCUGAAAACCACUGGCAGGGGUCCACAAUCUAUUUAUAAAAAUCCAGAAAGCCACCUCAUGAACUUCACCUUGAAUGGGCUUUUUCUACCUUCGUGGUGAGUCUCGUGUUUGAUGGUGAGCCCCUUGAGGACGUGUCUCCUGGCUGGGUUGUAAUCAUCCACACCACCCGCAUUUUGCCUCAUGUUUAGAAUAACAAACUCACAGAACCUCAGAAAAGCCUGAAGCCAUCAAUCACCAAUCAGAUCCUUCACACUUUACAAUAUUCUUGUCCAAUGAUCAACGUGGCGGUUAAUUUUACAUGUCAACUCGGCUAGACCCUGGUACCAGUUUUGGCCAAAUAUCAGUCUAGAUGUUACUGUGAAUGUAGCGUUUAAGUGAGAUUAGCAUUAAGCCAGUUGACUUUGAAUAAAGCAGUAAUAAUCUGAGUAGGCUUCA